rnacentral:rRNA from 1 species
AGUGAACGCUGGCGGUAGGCCUAACACAUGCAAGUCGAACGGCAGCACAGAGGAGCUUGCUCCUUGGGUGGCGAGUGGCGGACGGGUGAGGAAUACAUCGGAAUCUACUCUGUCGUGGGGGAUAACGUAGGAAAACUUACGCUAAUACCGCAUACGACCUACGGGUGAAAGCAGGGGGUCUUCGGACCUUGCGCGAUUGAAUGAGCCGAUGUCGGAUUAGCUAGUUGGCGGGGUAAAGGCCCACCAAGGCGACGAUCCGUAGCUGGUCUGAGAGGAUGAUCAGCCACACUGGAACUGAGACACGGUCCAGACUCCUACGGGAGGCAGCAGUGGGGAAUAUUGGACAAUGGGCGCAAGCCUGAUCCAGCCAUACCGCGUGGGUGAAGAAGGCCUUCGGGUUGUAAAGCCCUUUUGUUGGGAAAGAAAUCCAUCUGGUUAAUACCCGGGUGGGAUGACGGUACCCAAAGAAUAAGCACCGGCUAACUUCGUGCCAGCCGCCGCAGUAA